UACUCCAGGCCCUGGAUAGACAGA
rnacentral:siRNA from 1 species